rnacentral:rRNA from 1 species
AUUGAACGCUGGCGGCAUGCUAUACACAUGCAAGUCGAACGGCAGCGCGGGCUUCGGCCUGGCGGCGAGUGGCGAACGGGUGAGUAAUGCAUCGGAACGUGCCCAGUAGUGGGGGAUAGCCCGGCGAAAGCCGGAUUAAUACCGCAUACGACCUGAGGGUGAAAGCGGGGGACCGAAAGGCCUCGCGCUAUUGGAGCGGCCGAUGUCGGAUUAGCUAGUUGGUGGGGUAAAGGCUUACCAAGGCGACGAUCCGUAGCUGGUCUGAGAGGACGACCAGCCACACUGGGACUGAGACACGGCCCAGACUCCUACGGGAGGCAGCAGUGGGGAAUUUUGGACAAAGGGGGCAACCCUGAUCCAGCCAUGCCGCGUGCGGGAAGAAGGCCUUCGGGUUGUAAACCGCUUUUGUUCGGGAAGAAAUCCUCUGGGCUAAUACCCCGGGGGGAUGACGGUACCGGAAGAAUAAGCACCGGCUAACUACGUG